UGAAAUGAACGGUUAGAAAGUACGGAAAAGCGUAUGUACAUACGUACAUACAUACUCUAUAUUCCCCUACUCUUUCGUCUUUGGUAUUGCGAAAGCGCUGUGGCCGUGGAGGCUGCUAACAGAUGUUCGCACAUACAAUUAGAAAAAUAUUUACUGCGUUCGUGUAAAGGUGUUGCGCUAAACCUCGCGGAAAAAUUUGUAAAAGUAGAAAUGGAAAUUAGCCUACGGAAGUACCGAUGUAGCUGAUGUGAACUGUCUGUGUGAACAAGUGAUGGACUGCGUCAACAAAAGACAAAAUUAACAAAACAAAAACUUUUGCAGCAAAAUACUCAAAACAACAAAUGAAAAGUAUAAAAACCCAUUCAUGUUAAAUUCAAUUUUCCUUUUGAAAGAAAGAAACUUACUACCGCAGACCAAAACAAAACCUCAUCAAACGCUUUCAAGCUUAAGCGCAAUACCAACAACUGCUGUGGCAGUUUAAAUCGACAAAUGUAACAGCAAAAGCUGUCUAAAUAAUUUAGCUGAGCCAUUAAAUUUACGCGAGCAAUCUCAAAAAUAAUCGCAAAACACAAAGCACAAACAUAUACCUCUGCAUCUAGACCGUUCGAGUGAGCCCAAAAUUGAAUAAAGCGCCAAAGAUAAGGAGAAGUCCCAAAAUUAUCUCGAUGUUUUCGUAGAACAUGUUUCCGCAUUUAAAGUGAAAGCAAAAAGAAAACAACAAUAUGUACAAAACCAAGACGAGGCGGAUAUUCAGUAUCUUUUUGACACCAUUGUGGACGAUGGAGAAGAUUCUUUAUCUGAGCACGGGGAAGAGUGGGGCUCA